AUUGAACGCUGGCGGCAUGCUUUACACAUGCAAGUCGAACGGCAGCGGGGGCUUCGGUCCGCCGGCGAGUGGCGAACGGGUGAGUAAUGCAUCGGAACGUGCCCAGUCGUGGGGGAUAACACAUCGAAAGAUGUGCUAAUACCGCAUACGUCCUGAGGGAGAAAGUGGGGGAUCUUCGGACCUCACGCUAUCAGAUGAGCCUAGGUCGGAUUAGCUAGUUGGUGAGGUAAAGGCUCACCAAGGCGACGAUCCGUAACUGGUCUGAGAGGAUGAUCAGUCACACUGGAACUGAGACACGGUCCAGACUCCUACGGGAGGCAGCAGUGGGGAAUAUUGGACAAUGGGCGAAAGCCUGAUCCAGCCAUGCCGCGUGAGUGAAGAAGGCCUC
rnacentral:rRNA from 1 species